rnacentral:rRNA from 1 species
AGGACGAACGCUGGCGGCGUGCUUAACACAUGCAAGUCGAGCGGAAAGGCCCUUCGGGGUACUCGAGCGGCGAACGGGUGAGUAACACGUGAGUAAUCUGCCCCUAGCUCUGGGAUAGCUCCGGGAAACCGGGAUUAAUACCGGAUACGACCACCUUAGACAUCUUUUGUGGUGGAAAGAAUUUCGGCCAGGGAGGGGCUCGCGGCCUAUCAGCUUGUUGGAGGGGUAACGGCCCACCAAGGCGACGACGGGUAG